rnacentral:rRNA from 1 species
UACGAGGGGGGGCAAGCGUUGUUCGGAUUUACUGGGCGUAAAGGGCGCGUAGGCGGCUUAACAAGUCACUUGUGAAAUCUCCGGGCUUAACUCGGAACGGCCAAGUGAAACUGUCAAGCUAGAGUGCAGAAGGGGCAAUCGGAAUUCUUGGUGUAGCGGUGAAAUGCGUAGAUAUCAAGAGGAACACCUGAGGUGAAGACGGGUUGCUGGGCUGACACUGACGCUGAGGAGCGAAAGCAUGGGGAGCGAACAGG